rnacentral:rRNA from 1 species
AUGAACGCUAGCUACAGGCUUAACACAUGCAAGUCGCGGGGCAGCAUGGGGGUUGCUUGCAAUCCCCGAUGGCGACCGGCGCACGGGUGAGUAACGCGUAUCCAACCUGCCCUUCACCACGGGAUAACCCGGCGAAAGUCGGACGAAUACCGUAUGUUGUCCAUUGACGGCAUCCGAUUUGGACGAAAGGCUUGGCGGUGAGGGAUGGGGAUGCGUCCGAUUAGCCAGACGGCGGGGUAACGGCCCACCGUGGCUACGAUCGGUAGGGGUUCUGAGAGGAAGGUCCCCCACACUGGAACUGAGACACGGUCCAGACUCCUACGGGAGGCAGCAGUGAGGAAUAUUGGUCAAUGGGCGUAAGCCUGAACCAGCCAAGUAGCGUGCAGGAUGACGGCCCUAUGGGUUGUAAACUGCUUUUAUGCGGGGAUAAAGUGGCCCACGUGUGGGCUUUUGCAGGUACCGCAUGAAUAAGGACCGGCUAAUUCCGUG